rnacentral:tRNA from 1 species
GCGAGGGUGGUGGAACUGGCAGACACGCUAGACUUAGGAUCUAGUGCUUCACGGCAUGCGGGUUCAACUCCCGCCCCUCGCACCA